CGCGGCCUAUCAGCUUGUUGGUGAGGUAACGGCUCACCAAGGCGACGACGGGUAGCCGGCCUGAGAGGGCGACCGGCCACACUGGGACUGAGACACGGCCCAGACUCCUACGGGAGGCAGCAGUGGGGAAUAUUGCACAAUGGGCGAAAGCCUGAUGCAGCGACGCCGCGUGGGGGAUGACGGCCUUCGGGUUGUAAACCCCUUUCAGCAGGGAAGAAGCGAAAGUGACGGUACCUGCAGAAGAAGCACCGGCUAACUACGUGCCAGCAGCCGCGGUAAUACGUAGGGUGCGAGCGUUGUCCGGAAUUAUUGGGCGUAAAGAGCUUGUAGGCGGUCUGUCGCGUCUGCUGUGAAAAUCCGGGGCUCAACCCCGGACUUGCAGUGGGUACGGGCAGACUAGAGUGUGGUAGGGGAGACUGGAAUUCCUGGUGUAGCGGUGAAAUGCGCAGAUAUCAGGAGGAACACCGAUGGCGAAGGCAGGUCUCUGGGCCACUACUGACGCUGAGAAGCGAAAGCAUGGGGAGCGAACAGGAUUAGAUACCCUGGUAGUCCAUGCCGUAAACGUUGGGAACUAGGUGUGGGUCUCAUUCCACGAGAUCCGUGCCGCAGCUAACGCAUUAAGUUCCCCGCCUGGGGAGUACGGC
rnacentral:rRNA from 1 species